GGACCCGCACAAGCGGUGGAGCAUGUGGUUUAAUUCGAUGCAACGCGAAAAACCUUACCUACACUUGACAUACUUGGAAUCUUUUGUAAUGAAAGAGUGCCUUUUGGAGCCAAGAUACAGGUGCUGCAUGGCUGUCGUCAGCUCGUGUCGUGAGAUGUUGGGUUAAGUCCCAUAACGAGCGCAACCCUUACCCUUAUUUGCCAGCGAUUCGGUCGGGAACUAUAAGGGGACUGCCGGUGAUAAACCGGAGGAAGGUGAGGACGACGUCAAGUCAUCAUGGCCCUUACGUGUAGGGCUACACACGUGCUACAAUGGGGAGUACAGAUAGACGCUAAAGCGCGAGCUGGUGCUAAUCUCAUAAAACUCUUCGUAGUCCGGAUUGCAGUCUGCAACUCGACUGCAUGAAGUCGGAAUCGCUAGUAAUCGCGAAU
rnacentral:rRNA from 1 species